GACGAACGCUGGCGGCGUGCUUAACACAUGCAAGUCGAACGAUGAAGCUGGAGCUUGCUCCGGUGGAUUAGUGGCGAACGAGUGAGUAACACGUGAGCAAUCUGCCCUUGCCUCUCGGAUAACUUCGGGAGACUGUAGCUAAUACAGGACAUGCGGCUUGGAGACAUCUCCAGGUCUGGAAAGAAUUCCGGUCAAGGAUGAGCUCGCGGCCUAUCAGCUAGUUGGUGAGGUAAUGGCUCAGCAAGGCGACGACGGGUAGGCGGCGGGAGAGGGGGACCGGACACACUGGGACUGAGAUACGGCCCAGACUCCUACGGGAGGCAGGAGUGGGGAAUAUAGCACAAUGGGAGAAAGCCUGAUGCAGCAGAGCCGCGUGAGGGAUGAAGGCAUUCGGGUUGUAAACCUAUUUUAGCAGGGAAGAAGCGAAAGUGACGGUACCUGCAGAAAAAGCACCGGCUAACUACGUGCCAGCCGCCGCAGUAA
rnacentral:rRNA from 1 species